rnacentral:rRNA from 1 species
CAGUCGCCGCGGUAAUACGAAGGGGGCUAGCGUUGCUCGGAAUUACUGGGCGUAAAGGGCGCGUAGGCGGACAGUUCAGUCGGGGGUGAAAGCCCGGGGCUCAACCUCGGAAUUGCCUUCGAUACUGGCUGUCUUGAGUAUGAGAGAGGUGUGUGGAACUCCGAGUGUAGAGGUGAAAUUCGUAGAUAUUCGGAAGAACACCAGUGGCGAAGGCGACACACUGGCUCAUUACUGACGCUGAGGCGCGAAAGCGUGGGGAGCAAACAGGAUUAGAUACCCCGGUAGUCCCUGUCUCUUAUAC